rnacentral:rRNA from 1 species
GAUGAACGCUAGCGGCAGGCCUAAUACAUGCAAGUCGAACGCUCAGUAGCAAUACUGGGAGUGGCGCACGGGUGCGUAACGCGUACACAAUCUACCUCUAAGCGGGGGACACCUCCUGGAAACGGGGAUUAAUACCGCAUAAUAUGCCGAAGUCGCAUGACUUUGGUAUUAAAGCAGCAAUGCACUUAGAGAUGAGUGUGCGUCCCAUUAGGUAGUUGGUGAGGUAACGGCUCACCAAGCCUAUGAUGGGUAGCCGGUCUGAGAGGAUGGUCGGCCACACGGGCACUGAGACACGGGCCCGACUCCUACGGGAGGCAGCAGUAAGGAAUAUUGGUCAAUGGUGGAAACACUGAACCAGCCAUGCCGCGUGGAGGAAUAAGGUCCUACGGAUUGUAAACUCCUUUUGACGAGGAAGAAAAUGUUAGAUUUAUCUAAUUUUGACGGUACUCGUAGAAUAAGCACCGGCUAACUCCGUGCCAGCAG